rnacentral:rRNA from 1 species
UACGGGGGGGGCAAGCGUUGUUCGGAAUUACUGGGCGUAAAGCGCGUGUAGGCGGCCAUCUAAGUCGGGCGUGAAAUCCCACGGCUCAACCGUGGAAGUGCACUCGAAACUGGAUGGCUAGAGUCCUGGAGAGGAAGGUGGAAUGCUUGGUGUAGAGGUGAAAUUCGUAGAUAUCAAGCGGAACACCGGUGGCGAAGGCGGCAUCCUGGACCGGCAUUGACGCUGAGGCGCGAAAGCCAGGGGAGCAAACGGG